AGUAUAAGCAAUUAUACCGCGAAACUGCGAAUGGCUCAUUAAAUCAGUUAUCGUUUAUUUGAUAGUUCCCUACUACUUGGAUAACCGUGGUAAUUCUAGAGCUAAUACAUGCAAAAAACCGCGACUUCGGAAGCGGUGUAUUUAUUAGAUUAAAGACCAAUGCCCUUCGGGGCUGACUGGUGAUUCAUGAUAACUUCUCGAAUCGCACGGCCUUGCGCCGGCGAUGGUUCAUUCAAAUUUCUGCCCUAUCAACUUUCGACUUUAGCGUAGUGGGCUAAAGUGGUUACAACGGGUAACGGAGGGUUAGGGCUCGACCCCGGAGAAGGAGCCUGAGAGACGGCUACUACAUCCAAGGAAGGCAGCAGGCGCGCAAAUUACCCAAUCCCGACACGGGGAGGUAGUGACAAUAAAUACUGAUACAGGGCUCUUUUGGGUCUUGUAAUUGGAAUGAGUACAAUUUAAAUCCCUUAACGAGGAACAAUUGGAGGGCAAGUCUGGUGCCAGCAGCCGCGGUAAUUCCAGCUCCAAUAGCGUAUAUUAAAGUUGUUGUGGUUAAAAAGCUCGUAGUUGAACCUGGGCCUCGCGCAGACCGGUCCGCCUCACCGCGUGCACUGGUCCUGCCGGGGCUUUCACUAGGGGAUUCGCAUGCCCUUCACUGGGCGUGCGCGGAACCUGGACCUUUACUGUGAAAAAAUUAGAGUGUUCAAAGCAGGCCUAUGCUCGAAUACAUUAGCAUGGAAUAAUAGAAUAGGACGUGUGGUUCUAUUUUGUUGGUUAUGGGACCGCCGUAAUGAUUAAUAGGGACAGUCGGGGGCAUCAGUAUUCAAUUGUCAGAGGUGAAAUUCUUGGAUUUAUUGAAGACUAACUACUGCGAAAGCAUUUGCCAAGGAUGUUUUCAUUAAUCAGGAACGAAAGUUAGGGGAUCGAAGACGAUCAGAUACCGUCGUAGUCUUAACCAUAAACUAUGCCGACUAGGGAUCGGGCGAUGUUACUUUUUGACUCGCUCGGCACCUUACGAGAAAUCAAAGUUUGUGGGUUCCUGGGGGAGUAUGGUGGCAACGCUGAAACUUAAAGAAAUUGACGGAAGGG
rnacentral:rRNA from 1 species